GACAGGCCUGAGAUCAGUCUAUAAGGGGAAUUAGUUGGACAGGCCUGAGUUCGCUAUCUAAGGUGAAUGAGUUGGACAGGCCUGAGAUCAGUCUAUAAGGGGAAUGAGUUGGACAGGCCUGAGAUCAGUCUAUAAGGGGAAUGAGUUGGACAGGCCUGCGUUCGCUAUCUAAGGUGAAUGAGUUGGACAGGCCUGAGAUCAGUCUAUAAGGUGAAUGAGUUGGGACAGGCCUGAGAUCAGUCUAUAAGGUGAAGUAGUUGGACACCCCUGAGUUCGCUAUCUAAGGUGAAUGAGUUGGACAGGCCUGAGAUCAGUCUAUAAGGUGAAUGAGUUGGACAGGCCUGAUAUCAGUGUAUGAGAUGAAUGAGUUGGGACAGGCCUGAGAUCAGUCUAUAAGGGGAAUGAGUUUGACAGGCCUGAGAUCAUUCUAUAAGGUGAAUGAGUUGGACAGGCCUGAGAUCAGUCUAUAAGGGGAAUUAGUUGGACAGGCCUGAGAUCAGUCUAUAAGAUGAAUGAGUUGGACAGGCCUGAGAUCAGUCUAUAAGGUGAAUGAGUUGGACAGGCCUGAGAUCAGUCUAUAAGGGGAAUUAGUUGGACACCCCUGAGUUCGCUAUCUAAGGGGAAUGAGUUGGACAGGCCUGAGAUCAGUCUAUAAGAUGAAUGAGUUGGGACAGGCCCGAGAUCAGUCUAUAAGGUGAUUGAGUUGGACAGGCCUGAGAUCAGUCUAUAAGGGGAAUUAGUUGGACACCCCUGAGUUCGCUAUCUAAGGUGAAUGAGUUGGACAGGCCUGAGAUCAGUCUAUAAGGGGAAUGAGUUGGACAGGCCUGAGAUCAGUCUAUAAGAUGAAUGAGUUGGACAGGCCUGAGAUCAGUCUAUAAGGUGAAUGAGUUGGACAGGCCUGAGAUCAGUCUAUAAGGGGAAUUAGUUGGACACCCCUGAGUUCGCUAUCUAAGGGGAAUGAGUUGGACAGGCCUGAGAUCAGUCUAUAAGAUGAAUGAGUUGGGACAGGCCCGAGAUCAGUCUAUAAGGGGAAUGAGUUGGACAGGCCUGAGAUCAGUCUAUGAGAUGAAUGAGUUGGACAGGCCUGAGAUCAGUCUAUAAGGUGAAUGAGUUGGGACAGGCCUGAGAUCAGUCUAAAAGGGGAAUGAGUUGGACAGGCCUGAGAUCAGUCUAUAAGGGGAAUGAGUUGGACAGGCCUGAGAUCAGUCUAUGAGAUGAAUGAGUUGGGACAGGCCUGAGAUCAGUCUAUAAGAUGAACGUCACUAGACGUCCCGUUUAACGGAUUCCCUUUAUGAUCACAACACCUCAGCACACCUGGAUACACAGGACACCUUUACACACACCUGGUGAGAGUGGACACUUCUGGACACCUUUACACACAGCUGGUGAGAGUGGACACUUCUGGACACCUUUACACACACCUGGUGAGAGUGGACACAUCUAGACACCUGGUGACUCAUCUGGAUUAAUCUAGACACCUGGUGACCCAUCUGGAUUAAUCUAGACACCUGGUGACCCACCUGGAUUAAUCUAGACACCUGGUGACUCAUCUGGAUGAAUCUAGACACCUGGUGACUCAUCUGGAUUAAUCUAGACACCUGGUGACUCAUCUGGAUUAAUCUAGACACCUGGUGACUCAUCUGGACAAUUCUGGACACCUGGUGACUCAUCUGGAUUAAUCUAGACACCUGGUGACACCUGGACACAUCUAGACACCACCUGGUGACCCAUCUAGACACCUGGUGACUCAUCUGGACACAUCUAGACACCUGGUGACCCAUCUGGAUUAAUCUAGACACCUGGUGACUCAUCUGGAUUAAUCUAGACACCUGGUGACCCAUCUAUAUUAAUCUAGACACCUGGUGACCCAUCUAGACACCUGGUGACCCAUCUGGAUUAAUUUAGACACCUGGUGACCCAUCUGGAUUAAUCUAGACACCUGGUGACACCUGGACACAUCUAGACACCUGGUGACCCAUCUGGAUUAAUCUAGACACCUGGUGACCCAUCUGGAUUAAUCUAGACACCUGGUGACACCUGGACACAUCUAGACACC
ensembl:lncRNA